UACAGAGGUCUCAAGCGUUGUUCGGAUUCAUUGGGCGUAAAGGGUGCGUAGGCGGCGCGGUAAGUCGGGUGUGAAAUCUCGGAGCUUAACUCCGGAACUGCAUUCGAUACUGCCGUGCUUGAGGACUGGAGAGGAGACUGGAAUUUACGGUGUAGCGGUGAAAUGCGUAGAUAUCGUAAGGAAGACCAGUGGCGAAGGCGGGUCUCUGGACAGUUCCUGACGCUGAGGCACGAAGGUCAGGGGAGCAAACGGG
rnacentral:rRNA from 1 species